UGUUUUUCCAUUCCCAAGAAAAUGCAAGAUUGUGUUUUGGGGAAGAUUCUCAACUGUGAGAUGACAGCGUAUGCUAUGUUCCUUUCAUUGCAAUUGGUGUUUUAUAGCAUCCUGCCCAGCCUGGCCCGCAUUUGGCCCCGUAGCCAUGCUGUCCUCAGGCUAGGAUCUGGUUAGUUGUUCCAGACUCAAGUUGGUCCCUCCUUCUGCUCUGUGGAGAAAAAUCACAACCUCAAAGGGAUAGGUUUUUUUUUUUAUGGUUGCUCCUGAAAGUGGCAUGGUCCCUCUAGAUGUCAGCAAAUAUUAAGGCAAUUAAAUAAGGCAAAUUAAUUAUGGGAAACAUUAGCAUUGAUUUCUGAAGACAGUCUUCUUCUUGCUGAGUCUAGCCUCACCCCUUCUUGCCUUUUAGGAAGAGUUCCAUGUUCUUAGACAAGCUUGUUUUCGGAUAAAAUAUUAGACUUUUUUCUUAGAAAAUCCCUUUGUUUUAAAAUUGGUAAUUUUUAAAAAUCCCAAUCUCUGGCUACAUUUGAGUUUGAGGAAAUUCUUUUUCACAUCUCUAAAUAUGUUUCAAUUUGAUAGUAUUAGUAAAUAAGUAAAUAAAAAUGCCUUAUUCCACAAAUGUUUAUUGAGAUCCUUCUAAUUUCCAGUACCAGGAAUACACACAUCAAUAGGACAUGGUUCUUAUACUUCAUAAAGUCAUAGAAAGCAAAAAGAACUGGCAGUUAUCUGGUUCAGUUAUCUGAUUCUCUGAAAGAGAAGAAAUAUACCAGCCAGUAUAGUCAAUAUUAUUUUCAAAAAUUUGGUGAAUGGCCAUUGUAAGGUGCAUUUACACACAUAUAAUCAUACUCCUAUCAACUAUAAAUAUAUGAAUUGCUUAUAAGCAUGAUUGACAUUUGUUAUUCUUACAUAGAUUUUGUGAGUGACUAGCAAAAGCUGUUCUUUGCUUCUAGAACCAUGCUGUCCCAAUAUAACUUUUUGCAUUGAUGGAAAUGUUCUAUUUUAGCACUGUCCAAUAAGUUAGCCUUUAGCAAAACAUAGCUAUUGAGCACUUGAAAUAUGGCUAGCUCGUUAUCCUCAGCAAACUAACACAGCAACAGAAAACCAAACACCGCAUGUUCUCACUUAUAGGUAGGAACUAAACAAAGAAAACACAUGGGCACAUGGGGGAACAACACACACUGGGGCCUGUUGAGGGGAAGAGGGGAGGGAGAGCAUCAGGAAGAAUACCUAAUAAAUGCUGGGCUUAAUACCUAGGUGAUGGGUGGAGCAAACCACCAUGGCACACAUUUGCCUAUGUAGCAAACCUGCACUUCCUGCACAUGUACCCCAGAACUUUAAAUAAAAGUUGGAAAUUAAAAAAAAAAAAAGUAUUGGGCAUGAGGUCCAAAAGAGAAUUGGUAUCAACUAAGUACCGUUAACAUACAAGAUAUGACAAUGAAGAAUUAAUACUGAUUAGCUGCUAGAUACGAAGAUGCUUACAUAUAAACAAGCACGUUUUUCAAAAUAAACAUCUUGAAACU
rnacentral:lncRNA from 10 species